UGAUUGCACACAGCCAGGAGAUCAGCAGCCAGAGCACCAUCUGUGCACGCAGCUUAUGCGUAUGACCCGGCUUCCUCACAAAGGAAUGUGUCAGCUUCUGCUUUUCUGGAUCAAUUGAAAGCCUCCUUCAUGCUAGGAGCUCCAGUGAAAUUCUGUGACUGUUCCCUGAAGUCAGAUCUAAUCUCCUUGCCCAGCACGCCCAACGGGUACAGGUUUUCUUCAGCAAGAAGCUCUUCCUGCAAUGCUGCUUCCACGCAUUGGAGCUGGGAAGGUUCAGCAGCUCUUCAGUGUCACCUCACCGCCCUGUGAGUUGUGGAAGGAUCAUCUCAGCAUCCUGGAGAAUGGUCUGUGACAGUAGGGACAACAAAUUAAAGAGUCCCUGAACACUGCUUUCAGAGGACCACUGCAUCCUGGGUCAGACUUCCUCACCUGGCAGCCCAGCCCUGCUCCUUUCCCUUCCUCCAUCCCAGAAGGUGCAGCAGAUGGAGGAGGUCCUGGCUGCAGUGAAGCAGAGGAAAAGGUUACAUCCCUGAUUUCUGCUGAAGUAAGGUUGCAGUUCUCAGUUUGAAGGAUUUACCCAGCAGAAAACUUGAGGAAAUAACAGGGCGUGUUGAUGCAUCCUGGAGCUGCACUGGCACGCAUCACCAUGGUUUCUCAUGGUCAGCCUGUGGUUACUUGGCUCUUCCAAGACAUAACACUUUCAGAAAGAACACAAGCAACCAAUCCACUGGAGAUCAAGACAUGAAUAAUCAACAUCAAGGGAAAAUUUAUAAAAUGUUUCCUGGUGUUACUACACCCACUCAAGCUCCAAGGAAAAUGAUUAUCAAUACUUCAUACUGAACUCUUAUCAGUUGCCUUAAGGACUGUGCUGUUAUGCAAAAUUACAUAUAAUUUAAGAUCAAAAGAAGCAUAUUAGCAUGUAAAAUUUGUCUUUCUGAUAAAAUUAAUAAUAACAAAGAUAAUUGACCUGCUUAUGAAAGAUAAUUGCCUCUGAAGAACAGUUAAUAUUUAUUAAUAGUAAGCACACAUAAGGAUUACUAACUUAAUAAGCCACAUAUGAACUAAUAUAUUGAAGAAAUCAUGAAAACAUGCUGUGUUCAUAUUUAGAUUUUAUUUUUUAAGCUUUCUAGGUUUCCCUGUGAUAAAUAAAAUUGAAAUAGAUA